rnacentral:rRNA from 1 species
UGCGGAGCUACCAUGCAGUCGAGCGGUAGAGAAGAAGCUUGCUUCUUCUUGAGAGCGGCGGACGGGUGAGUAAUGCCUAGGAAUCUGCCUGGUAGUGGGGGACAACGUUUCGAAAGGAACGCUAAUACCGCAUACGUCCUACGGGAGAAAGUGGGGGAUCUUCGGACCUCACGCUAUCAGAUGAGCCUAGGUCGGAUUAGCUUGUAGGUGAGGUAAUGGCUCACCUAGGCAACGAUCCGUAACUGGUCUGAGAGGAUGAUCAGUCACACUGGAACUGAGACACGGUCCAGACUCCUACGGGAGGCAGCAGUGGGGAAUAUUGGACAAUGGGCGAAAGCCUGAUCCAGCCAUGCCGCGUGUGUGAAGAAGGUCUUCGGAUUGUAAAGCACUUUAAGUUGGGAGGAAGGGUUGUAGCUUAAUACGCUGCAACUUUGACGUUACCAACAGAAUAAGCACCGGCUAACUCUGUGCCAGCAGCCGCGGUAA